rnacentral:rRNA from 1 species
UACGUAGGGGGCAAGCGUUAUCCGGAUUUACUGGGUGUAAAGGGAGCGUAGACGGUUAUGCAAGUCAGAAGUGAGAGCCCAAAGCUCAACUUCGGGACUGCUUUUGAAACUGUGUAACUAGAGUGCAGGAGGGGUAAGCGGAAUUCCUAGUGUAGCGGUGAAAUGCGUAGAUAUUAGGAGGAACACCGGCGGCGAAGGCGGCUUACUGGACUGUAACUGACGUUGAGGCUCGAAAGCGUGGGGAGCAAACAGG